GGUGUAGUGUCAUAGUUUGAGUGUUGAGACUAGGACUCUGGAGGCCAGGGUUCUAAUCCCUGCUCUGCCA